GAAAUACUAGUUAAAACAUAACAAUGCCUUGUCGAGACAUAAUUACCCAUGGUGUAUUUCU
rnacentral:tRNA from 1 species